rnacentral:rRNA from 1 species
UACAUGGGGUGCAAACGUUGCUCGGAAUUAUUGGGCGUAAAGGGCGCGUAGGCGGCCCGAUAAGUCAAAGGUGAAAUCCCUCGGCUCAACUGAGGAACUGCCUUUGAAACUGUCGGGCUUGAGGCCGGGAGGGGGUAGCGGAAUUCCCAGUGUAGCGGUGAAAUGCGUAGAUACUGGGAGGAACACCAGUGGCGAAGGCGGCUACCUGGACCGGUUCUGACGCUGAUGCGCGAAAGCGUGGGUAGCAAACAGG